GUUAAAUAUAACUGCAAAAAAUAACACUUCUUACGCUCUAGCUGCCUAAAAACCAGCAGGCGUGACCCGAUUUGGAUUGCUCGUGUUCAAUGACAGGUCUUAUUAUUAGCGAGAUACGAUUAAGCCUUGUCUAGCGGCUUGAUAAGAGAUUGAUAGACUCGCAGUUUCUAGACUUGAGUUAUGUGUCGAGGGGCUGUUAAAAUAAUACAUAACCUAUGGUUGUAGACAAAUAUGUUGGCAGGUGUUUGGACG
rnacentral:tmRNA from 1 species